GUCAGCUUGCCAGCAGUGGGGACAUAUCGCAGAGAGAAGCAGAUAUCACCCAGUUUUUCUUGCUGUUGGAAAAACAGAGACAUUGCAGAGCGCUCUGCAGAUCCCGCCACUCCUCUGUUAUGUGGCUGAAGUCCACCUUGUUCAUGGGCACCUUGAUGUCGCCAAUGGCAUCAUGCUUGGAGAAGCGGUCAAAAUCGUACACCGUCAUCACCAGUGUCUUCCCGCCAAGCUCUACAUAUGGGACCUGAAGUAGAAAGAGGCAAAGCAUUUAUGGCUCACCCAGCCUUCAAGUUGCUCAGACGACUCUUUUUCAAACCAACGUGGCCACUACAAGAAAAAGACAAAAAAAAAAAGCUUAUGCAUGAUCUUGUAUGAAGUUUAAUUUUUAGAUCAUUGGUAUGUUGUCACAAGCUCAUGUGCUCAAAUCUUUUCAAUUGAUUCGUUCUUCCUGCAGAUGGGGGGCAGUAGUUGGGCAAACCCGUCUGACUGUAUAACCCCGAUGUUGACAAACUCAAUGCACACAUAAGUAAUAGGCAGUGGUUGUGCUUUGAAUUUGGCUAGAUUUAUAUCUAAUGAAAGGACAAAGUUACAAGAACCAAAAUAUAGAAGCUGCCCACUAGUGACCAGAGCAGCAGAGCAUUCAGGUAUGCAGUCUUUUUGAGCCUGUUUAAAUUUGCAUUAAAGGAUUUUAAGGGCAGAGAUUGGGAUAAAUGUAGUGACAAAGCAGUUUAGCAUGAGCAUAAGUGGA